GACGAACGCUGGCGGCGUGCUUAACACAUGCAAGUCGAACGGAAAGGCCCUGCUUUUGUGGGGUGCUCGAGUGGCGAACGGGUGAGUAACACGUGAGUAACCUGCCCUUGACUUUGGGAUAACUUCAGGAAACUGGGGCUAAUACCGGAUAGGAGCUCCUGCUGCAUGGUGGGGGUUGGAAAGUUUCGGCGGUUGGGGAUGGACUCGCGGCUUAUCAGCUUGUUGGUGGGGUAGUGGCUUACCAAGGCUUUGACGGGUAGCCGGCCUGAGAGGGUGACCGGCCACAUUGGGACUGAGAUACGGCCCAGACUCCUACGGGAGGCAGCAGUGGGGAAUAUUGCACAAUGGGCGGAAGCCUGAUGCAGCAACGCCGCGUGCGGGAUGACGGCCUUCGGGUUGUAAACCGAUUUCGCCUGUGACGAAGCGUGAGUGAAGGUAAUGGGUAAAGAAGCACCGGCUAAAUACGUG
rnacentral:rRNA from 1 species